AUUGAACGCUGGCGGCAGGCCUAACACAUGCAAGUCGAGCGGAUGAAGGGAGCUUGCUCCUGGAUUCAGCGGCGGACGGGUGAGUAAUGCCUAGGAAUCUGCCUGGUAGUGGGGGAUAACGUCCGGAAACGGGCGCUAAUACCGCAUACGUCCUGAGGGAGAAAGUGGGGGAUCUUCGGACCUCACGCUAUCAGAUGAGCCUAGGUCGGAUUAGCUAGUUGGUGGGGUAAAGGCCUACCAAGGCGACGAUCCGUAACUGGUCUGAGAGGAUGAUCAGUCACACUGGAACUGAGACACGGUCCAGACUCCUACGGGAGGCAGCAGUGGGGAAUAUUGGACAAUGGGCGAAAGCCUGAUCCAGCCAUGCCGCGUGUGUGAAGAAGGUCUUCGGAUUGUAAAGCACUUUAAGUUGUGAUGAAGGGCAGUAAGUUAAUACCUUGCUGUUUUGACGUUACCAACAGAAUAAGCACCGGCUAACUUCGUG
rnacentral:rRNA from 1 species